rnacentral:lncRNA from 1 species
GUGCCCCGGCGUCGUGUCGUGCGCCGACAUCCUUGCCCUUGCCGCGCGAGACGGAACCAAUCUGGUACGCACGCCUACUAGUUCGUUCCUUUAAUUACAUGUCAUAUUCAGUUAGUUAUCCGGUGUGUAUAGUCGCGGUCAAGGGGAAUAUGACGACGCGUCUAACACUUAUCCUUCGUUUCCUGUUGUCCGCACGUACAUAGCUCGGCGGGCCGACCUGGAACGUGCCGCUGGGCCGGCGGGACUCGACGACGGCGAGCGCGUCCCUUGCCAACAGCAACCUCCCGCAGUCGACGGCGAGCCUGGGUACGCUCAUCUCGCUGUUCAGCAGGCAGGGCCUGUCGGCGCGCGACAUGACGGCGCUGUCGGGCGCGCACACCAUCGGGCAGGCCCGGUGCACCACCUUCCGCAGCCGCAUCUACGGCGACACCAACAUCAACGCCUCCUUCGCGGCGGCGCUCCGGCAGCAGACGUGCCCGCAGUCCGGCGGCGACGGCAACUUGGCGCCCAUGGACGUGCAGACGCCGACGAGGUUCGACACGGACUACUACACCAACCUGCUGUCGCAACGGGGCCUGUUCCACUCGGACCAGGAGCUCUUCAACGGCGGGUCGCAGGACGCGCUGGUGAGGCAGUACAGCGCCAACCCCUCGCUCUUCAACAGCGACUUCAUGGCGGCCAUGAUUAAGAUGGGCAACGUUGGGGUGCUAACCGGCACCGCCGGACAGAUCAGGCGCAACUGCCGAGUCGUCAACAGCUAGAUGCCGAUAUGGAUCGGAUAUACUUCUAGCUUAGCUAUAGCUAGCUUGCUGAUCGACCGACCGACCGCCCAUGGAUGGGUCGAAACCGACCGACAUGUACAGCUAGCUAGCUUUUCAUCAUGAACUACAGUAUACGAAUAUGGCUAUAGAUAGAAAUCAUCAGUACGGAGUAUAUAGUAGAAUAAGUGGUGAACGACCACGCAAGGAGUGACCGAAGCAGUGUCACUUACAUGGCCAGGUUACCGAAACGAUUCACCUGACCUUUUCCAUUGGAUAUUUUGAAAGGCAACUAUAUAUAAACACCAUCCAUGCGUGUUUACUAUGGUCCUGAUGUCAUGUUUCCAACUUCGAAGCAGUGAAGGCACACUGGGGAAGAAAAUCCCUCAUAACUAUAUAUGGUCCUGAUGUCCUGUCACGUGUUCUCCACAGCCAAAAAAAGAGGCCGAAUUCUAAUAGAGCAUUUGGGCAUAGUUCACGCACUGGGCCAAAAUCUGCACAUCUAGUUCUGUACCGAGGCCUGGGCUAUGUGCUCGUCCCUUUAUGGGCCCGCCUAGUUUUGAUUUGGAAAACAUACCUAUAAUUUCUAUAAGUUGCUCAAAAAAGAAAACUACAGUUUCUAUAAAGGUUCAUACCCAAUGAGAACGAUUAUCAGUUAAUCUCUCUAAAGCUGAGCUCUCAUUCUUCAAUGUUGUUUUGGUUUCUCUGCCAUCCGAUCGGUUGAUCUGGCCAUCUCGGCUCAUCCCAGCCCUUCCGGGUGGAACCAAAGAAAUAGGUUCCUCAUGCUGGAGAAUCUGGAACAAGGUGUUAGAAUUUUUGGGUCGUCUAGGGUGUAGAUCAGUAGGGUUUUUCUUUUGUACUUGGGAUAAACAAUGUAAAACUUCAUGGAUCCAGAGGGGGAAGGGAGGAUGAGGGAAUGGGAGAGAGGUAGUGAACCAUACCUUCGUGUUGGUAGAGAGGAUCAUGGUCGAGCAGGUGGUGGCGGCGGAUUUCCUGUCGUUGGCAGUGCUUCCGUCUCGAUCAAUCUAGGGUUGGGUGGUGAACCCUGUUCCUUGUGCCCUGGCCUCCACCCUCUCUUUUAUGCACUGCGCGAUCGGGGCCCAUCAGCCAGUAGACGGCUGGACGUCCCCGAUCAGGAUGCGGUCAGGGGGUCCGGCCCAGUCUUUGGACUUGGGCUGGUGGAGAUCAAUAUAACAUUCUCCCCUUUGAUCUCCUCUUAUUCUUUAAACUUUGGACUUUAAACUUAACAUUUAUAUCUUUCUUGUUCCAUCAUAGAUCGGUUCAUAGAGCAUGUUUCAUCGUCACGGUCACUCAUCGAUAGAUUUAAUAGCUACAACACAUAUCUCUGUUCUCAAACAGAUUCUUUAACUUUGGGCCCUUUAUUGUCCAAAAAUCAUAGGCUUUCCCAUAAACCCAUGUCGACUGUGUGUUCUCUAAACACACUGGGUGGUAAGCCUUUGGUAAGUGGAUCCGUGAGCACUUGCUCAAUACUUUUAAUAUGAUUCCAGACUAUCUCCUUCACAAUGUGUAACUUUGUGUCCAUGUGUUUGACAUCACACUUGACCCGUUGUCGUAGGAGCAAAAUACUUAAAUGGUUAUUGUUGUUGACAACUAUUAUCAAUUCCGGGUAUAGGUUUUCUUAACCAUUUUCUGCCUUUUAAGACUCAUAAUAAGCUAUACUUUGGGUAUACAUCAUUGAUGACACCAUAACUAUUUCUUUGGAACUUUUCCACAACAAAACUCCAACUACAAGUGUUAGCUACUAUGUGGGUUUCACUAAACAUCUCGCCUAAAUUUAAUAUUUGUAUCAACAACUGUGGGAUUGUUGUUGCUCUUUUAUUGCCAAGUGGCAAUUGAUUCUAUAUGAUCCUGUAUUACAAGAUCCUUGAUUACAUUGUACAUCUUCUUUGAAGAGCCAACAACACGUGUUGUACAAGUCAUACAACAUCAACAUGGUAUUGAACAAUUUGUCGAUCUUGAAUCAUUGGAAUGGGCACGUAUACUCACUUAUAUUCAAGUCCUAGAUCUGUACAUACCAUGCUUCCCCAGAUUACAUUGUCUUUAAGCUUUCUUAUUUGGGUUCAAUCUGUUGAAAUUUCAUAUGGUCACUUUAAGCACCAUCUUUGUACUUUGUCUACUUAGGAGUAUCGUUGUUAUGACCAUUGUACUCCCUCAAUGAUAAAUCACUUUUAUCACAUUUACCCUCAAUGCAUACUAUACAUUAAGAAUGGAGAGUAUCUUUCAAGAGUAUCAUAACCCCCCUCCCUCAAAAUGUGGCAUGAACUUUAUUGUCAUAAUUUCAAAACCAUUCAUUACUCUUGAGAAUGAGGAAACUUUGAUUGCUUACUCAUUCACAUGAUUGUGUCAUGCAAAAUUGAGUUAUUUCUUCAAUCUUUUAGGAGUACACUUUCCUCAUUUCACUUCAGGAACUCUAUAGAGUCCUUCAGUACUUUUGCAAGUCAUACUAGCUUGCAUGUCAUUCUUAUCUUUUGGUUCAUAUGUAACUUCUUUUUUCCUGUGAUGCAUGACAAGUACUAUGCCAAAACUUCUCCCGCCAUGCGGGAUAAUUCCCUAUAAGGGACAUAAAUGCCAUAACUGGCUUUUUAGCAUAUUUAAUCAUCAAAUUCAGAAAUAAAUUCAAAUAUUCUUUAACACGCACAUGUUUAAUCCAAUGUUGGUCAAAUUAAACAUGCAUAUGACUUUUACAAUUCUUAUUAGUGAAACUGAAAAUAAAACUCUUUUGCAUAGAGAGUACAUAAAAGUUAAACUAAACUUUUAUUGCUCUAUCUCUUUUCUUGGACCAAUGUCCUUGAAUUCCUUUCUUUUUAAGCCAUUCUUUAAAGAGAAAACUAUCCCUUAUAUAAUGGCCUUCUUUUCAUGCAGACAUGCACUUUUCAUCUUCUGAGUCACAAGUACCCAGUUCUUUUCCUUACUGCCAUCAAAGAUGAAAGCAUGGAUAUCCUUUUUCUAAAACAUAUUCAACAAUGAUUAAUGAUAAUGAGCAUGAAAAUCCCUUGGUCUGCUUAAAGACAUGCACAUUAAACUUUUAAAUCUUUCUUUUAUAUUCUAAAUCACCUUUGGACAGAAAUAGAAUUAAUGCAUAUAGAUUCUAUAUAUAUAAAAUAUCAUGAUAUUGCUAUUAAAUAACUCUGCUAAGAAAAAUAACAAUAUCAAAUUUACUGAAUUCUAUUGACUUCUCUUUAAAUUAAAUUCUCCCACUGGUUCAAAUUUAAUUAAGAGAUAAUCGUCAUCUUUACGGCGGAAACGAGAAAAAUGCUAUUUUCUAUUUUGAGGAACAUUUCUGAUCUUUAUCCAUUCUCUGACAAAUUGGUCACUUUGAUACAAAAUUCAUCAGAGAUUCAAACUUUAAACAUAAACUUAUAAUAUUGUUAUCAUCAACUUUGGGCAGAAAAUAACAAUAUUAUAAUUUAUUGAAUAUCUAUAACUGCUCUUCUAAUUAAAUUAUCCCGUUGGUUCAAAUUUAAUGAGAAGGCAAUAAACUUUUUCUGUGCAGCGGAAACAUAAAAAAUUUAUUUAAUGCUUAUUCAGAAGCACAUUCCUUUACUCUUCUUCUCUCUAAACAAAUUAUCAUGUUGGUUCAAAUUUCAGUAGAGAUAAAUAUAUAAACUUUAACAAUAAUUCAAAAAUACAUGCUUCUAAAAAAUAGUAGAACAAAUUUAAUCGCCACUGUGCACUUUUGCCAUUUCGGCUCAGCUGGUCAAAACGUGGCCCACGGCCUUCUCUCUUACCUGUGCGCGCGAUUGUUGCCACAACCUAACAGUGGCCCAAAAUGCGUCGGCGCCCAGCAGCGGCUGCGCAGCCCAACUGGUCUGUGGCCAGCGCCCCACGCGUGUGCUCUCCCUGCCCAGGCCGCAACCUAGGCCUGGGCCGGGAAACUCUUCACCCGCCUGGGCCUGAAGCAAGCCUGAGUGUUUGGGGCCGUCCAUCUUCAUCCGACGGUCGUCCGUCCAGAUCGGUUGAACAAAACCAUGAUGGCCGGCCGCCUCCCUAAACCCUAAGCCAUUUUUUGUUGCUCCCUUCUACCUCUUCCAUGAUAGAGCGGUGGCCGGUGUGGCCACAGUUACCAUCAGUGCCAGUGAGGAAAAGGGGGGCCACUAGAGGAGAUCUAGCUCUUCUUCCACUUUCUUUCUCUUCCCCUUUCCCACCGUUCUAGUGCCAUACCCAGAAGGAGCAAUUGCGGCAUCGUCCACCCGUGGUGAACACGAUGGAGGAACAGUCGGCAUCACCAUGGCGCCCUUCAACGACGCGCGUGUGCGGCUGCAAAGCUACACACGGUGUCGUAGAAUGGUACCGCAGUGGUGCCCUGUGGCUACCCGAGCACACGUGUUCCUACGGUGAGGCGAGUAGCCGGCGAGCCGGCCUUUUCUUCCCGCGCUUUGCCGCUAGCGGCGGUAGAAAAGGAGCCCAGAUAGGACUCCCCUCCUAUCCAUCCUCACUUUGCUUUGGUUCCUUUAGGGUUAGGGUUUCAGGACGAGGUUUUCGAAUCAAAAAUUCGUUCUCUUCCCUUUCUUUUCUGUUGAUUCUCUUCCCCCACAUGUCGGCAAAACGGUGGCAGGUGCUUUAUCCCGCGUGAGGCGGUAUCAAUGGUGGUGGGAAAAACCGGGUAGGCUCCUCACAUCGUCCUUUUCUUUCUCUUAGGGUUAGGGUUCAAUCUGAUUUAAAAAUCAUUUCUUUUCUUUCUGUUCCCUGCUAGGGUUUGAUAGAUCAUCUGAUAUCAUCCUUUUCUUUUUCUGAACCGAUCUACACAGCUAGGUAGGCUCCGGUACCAUUGUUAGAAUCUUUGGAUCAUCUAGGGUGUAGAUUAGUGGGGUUUUUCCUUCUACUUGGGAUAAACAACAUAGAAUUUCAUGGAUCUAUAGGGGAAGGGAGGAUGAGAGGAUGGGAGAGAGGUAGUGAACCAUACCUUCGUGUUGGCAGAGAGGAUCGUGGUCGAGGAGGUGGUGGCAGCGGACUUCCCGUCACUAGCACUGCUUCCCUCCUGAUCGGUUUAGGGUUCGGUGGGGACUGAUGGACUUGUAGCGGUGAACCCCGUUCCUUGUGCCCUGGUCCCACCCUCUCUUUUAUGCGCUGCGCGAUGGGGGGCCACCAGUCAAUAGACAGCUAGACAUCCCUGAUGAGGACGCGGUCAAGGGGUCCGGCCUAGUCUUUGGACUUGGGCCGGUGGAGAUCAAUAUAACAUAAGGUUGAUCAGUUUUCAUCUCAGAUGAAGAUGUAGUAGGAAGAAUGAAGUUCAAAACUGAUAUCCUUGAUUUUCUUGAUAGUUCAUCAUCAAUCCACCGCGAAGCAUGCUAGAGAAUCCUUUAGUUCCAUAGCAGCUUGGGCAUUCGCUCUCUCCUCCAACAUCUUGCAAAUCUCCAUAGAAAGUUGAUGGGACGAAGGCUUCAUAAUGUUGCCCAGCUUCUUUGGGUCUGUCUUGUUGUCGACCAUAAUAGUAGAUCCAUCAUCGGCCAUAAUAGCAGCUCAGUUUGCUUUCUUCGCUAGCGGAGUAAAAAACAAAGCAUGUUGACCUUAAAUCCUACCAACAAACUGACAAGAGCUAGGUCAUCCAGGUCAUGGAUGGUCGAGACAUGCAAUAGAUAUAGAUCUAAACGACGAUACUGACUAGUAGGUCGAUGGGGUCGAUAACCCCUCUUGAACAGGCCCAUUGCAGUAGUAGGAUGUAAUAGGAUUAGCAAAGCCACGUAGAACACCGAUAAUCUCGUCGAGGAAAGUCCUAAACAGCUUCAAGGCAUGGAGUCCAUGCCACCUGACAAAGAUGAGCUCAUGGCUUCUCAAAAUAUAUCUGUAGAAAAUUCUUGGCCGGUUUCAUAUAUGGUAACUAGUUUCCAAUUUGGUGCAUUUUCUUCAAAUGAAAAAUAUAUAAAGAAGGCCAAGGAAAUAUUUGCUCUAGGUGGACUUUCGUCGAUGAUCAGCUUUAAGGGUGCAUCAUUCAAGAGAGAAGAUGAUAAAAGGCCGAGAAAAUAUAUUUUUAUUGGAGCUAUAUGCACUACGAGAAACUUGCUAAUCCGUGACGGAUUCUAGGUGACGGAUUUCUAAACUGUCACUAACAGACACAAUCUGUCACGAUAAUUCUUUUCUGUCAUGGAUGUACACCAAUUGGAUAUUCCCAGCCCGCUAAUUCAUGACGGUUUUAUCAAGAUUGUCACGAUGCAUGAUUUAAAAUUCGUCACACUCUAUUUAGCCCAAAACAAUAGGCAUGCAAUCAAUAUUUAGUGCAAAGAAAAAUAAAAAAUGUGAUUACAAAAAGAAUAAAAAAUUUAGCGUGUGUUGCUAUUUUUCUGUUAUACUCUAGUUAGCCUAAAACAAUAGGCCUGCUAUCAAUAUUUAGGGCAAAGAAAAUUAAAAAAUAUGAUUGUAAAAAGAAUAAAAAAAUUCCACAACACACACGACGUGAACCUAGCACCUACCGGUGAGCUAUUUGUUCUAUAUAUAUAUAACUAAAUGUGUAAUUGGAUACUUUUAUUUGUUUUAUGCUCAUGUGCGUAAUUUUUUCUGCCUACUGUGUGCGUAAUUACUAAUUCACGUUGUAAAUACAAGAAAAAAAUUAAAAUAAUGCGCCAAACAACUAAAACGCAGCGUUGGGCUCGAACCAGGCACCAAACGAAUCAGCCCAUACGGCCAUACCACUGUGCCCGGUGAGCUAUUUGUUCUAUAUAUAUAUAUAUAACUAAAUGUGUAAUUGAAUACACUUUGAAAUUCAGGAAGAAGUUCACGGUCAAUUGUAUAGGACAUAUAGAAAUUCAGAGUUUGGUCAAUUUGAUCCCAAACUUUGUUAAGUUACGAAAAUGUGAUACCAUUUGAUAUAACUGAAGUUGUAAUCUGUGCAUGACUGUACAAGUCAUCGAGCCUUCUUGCUCCUCUGUGCAUCCAGGUUGUUGAAGCAGGAUCGCAGAGCUUGGACGUGGGACUGCAUAUGUUAUGAAAAGGCAGGUACCCUAUCUAUUUUCCUUUACACAAUAAAAUUAUUUUUGGCACAUUAUUAGUGUUUGAUUUGCAUUCAGUUAGCUACAUUACAUUCAACAAAAAUAAAUGACCAAAACUAGUCAGCUCAUGUUUGAGUACUAGUGUGUUACUGCUUAACCAAAACUGCACUGUGCCAUCUGUAUUCUCCAGUGCUAGUUUAAAGCAUUAUAAGCUUUAUUCGUGUAGUCAUGCUAUCAGAAUUGUCACAUUUUAUUCUGGAAUCAAUUGGAAUAUUCAAUAGUGCUUUGUAACAUUAACUUGGCUGCUGUGUUGCUGCAGGUGUUCACCAGCUCACACUGUUGGUGCUCUGCUGUUUUAUUUCGGACAUAGCAAUUUGGACACUUGAUGUCAGAGUCCUGCAGCAGCUGCUCGUCCACCGUCGACAUUCAGGUAUAAGCAGUAUGCGCAUUCAGGUAUAAGCAGUGCAUACGCAGCUAGUGCACCUACAACUUUCAUCCACUUGACAGGCAAAGCAGCAAGUUGCAAGCAGUUUGCUUUUUUUUUUACUGAACCUUCAUAUCAGCAGCCUAGUAUACACUUUGAAUUGACCUAUUAUGGUAAAGUAGCCCUCCUUGAAUAUCACUUGCGCCCAUGCUUUUGGACAAUUGUUUAUUAUCAUGAUAGCUUUUUAGUAUAGCGUUAGUUGCUUAUAUGCUUGGCUGAUGAAAUGAGGUGGGUUGGGGAUGGGGACAUUGAGCUCUGUUAUUGUAGGGUAUUACCGGGCCAUGAGAUUGGUGUUGCAAAGUAGUCUUAUCAUUCAAAAACUAUUAUCUUAUCUGUAGAUCUUUUCUUGGUGUUUCUCUAAAAAUCUAGGAUACAGAUGCACAAUUUGAUAAUUGAUUGAUAUCUAGAUGCCUCAUUCCUCAAAUGAAUUAGAUUAUUAUUUUUCUAUUAAUCUGCUGCAUUCUGUAGCUUGCUACUAAUUAUUGUGUUCAAAUUUUUUGACAUGCAGUUCAGAUGAACACUAGCUGCGGAUGAACACUUGGUGUAGGUGUGCUGCAACUUGCCAUUGUAGCUUCAUGUAUUAAGCUGCCGAAGUUGUAUGCAUUUUUUGAAAUCUCAUUUUUGUUGUUGGCUUAUGUGCCAAUGUAAACUGCAAGGUUGAUGGAUGUUUGAUGUAUGUCGACUGAUGUUGGAUGAAAAUUCAUGUGAUAUGAUAUUGGAUUGAAAAUAAUAUUUUUGUUUGAUGUACUGUUAUGAUUAUUAGUUAUAUGAGCUGUGUAUAUGGGUUGUAUGAGUGUAAUUGGGUUGUGUAUGUGGGCUAGAUAUGAUGUAGUAGUGGGGUGAAAAGAACACAAAAUUGGUGAUGAAUUUGGGCUGCAAAGCUGAUGAAAAUGGACUGCCAAAUGGCUGAAAAGGAGCUACAAAAAUCGCUGAAAUUGGGCUAAAAUUUGGCCCAUCUUAGAUUUUGGUCUGUUAACAAUUGGUUGAGGUAGUGACUACAUUAUCAUCCACAUAAACAACCAUGCAAGCAUCUAUGAGAUGUGGCAUUCAAUCUGUGACGGUUAUUUUUUGUCACAGGAAAUAGACUUGGGCUGGGCUAACUAGGUCCUGGGCUCUAUGGUGACGGUUUAAAACUAUCACUGAUUUCGUUAAUUUGUGACGCUUUUCAGUAAACCGUCACCGAGCUUAAUCCAUGACGCUCAAUCCAUGACGAUUUGUGAAACCAUCACAGAUGUUGUAUAGUGACGGUUUUUUGGUGAUCCGUGACAGAAUUGUUUUGUCAUAGAUUAACAGGUUUCUUGUAGUGAUGCAAGUGUUCGUUGAUGAUGAGCUGCCAAUUUAAUUAUGGGCAACAAAUUUCAAUUACUAGAAGAAGGACGUGAUAAGCAAAGCUUCUAGAAUAAUUUAUACGUGUCCAGGUUAGCUAUAUCAAGUUGGAGUCGGCUGUCCAUUAUUAUUUUAAUGGCCUGGUCUCGUUAGUUUGGAUCCUGGUCAUGUGGUUUAGCGGGUCAUGGGCCUCAGCUUAAUUGAAUUAGGAGUCCAUGUGUCCUAUGCCUGCGGGCACAUAUAUUUGUCUUAAGUUGCUGUGUAUAAAGGGUUUAGAUUGGAUUAUUUGUGCUUGGAAUGGUACCGUGAAAGAUUGGGCAAAUUCUCAGACAUCAUAGACGUGUCCUUAUCCGUUGAUAUUGGCUUGUGGUUGCUCACGGUGAAUUUGGAUUUUUUUUUUCAAUGGCUGAUUAUAGUCAUGCUAAUAAAUAUAUUAAACAUGUGUUAAAACUUUCUGCAAUUUCAUAUCUCGCUGAGUACUAUAAUUGGGAAGAUGACAUGGAGAAGUUUUGUGCGGUGGUGCACUUAAUUUAUAUAUGCAGUUUUUCUAUGCAAGACGGACAUUUUUCUGAUGUUGUUUUGUCAUAGUGGCGGGAAUUAUAAAAGGAACACAUAACGAAAGGUGAAGAACCUUCAGGACACACGGUAUGAAAGCUGUGUUACAACGUUGGUUUGGUAAUGGUAAAGUUGAGCAUGCAGCCCGCGGGCCAAAGGCACGGCUCAAAGCAUGGUGAUUUGGUCCGGCUCGAGCACGGCACGACCCGAUCUUAACUGAGCCCGGGUCGGCCCGAAGCACGUAGCGGACCGUGUUUGGGCCGACCCCUCGGCCCGCUGGCCGGCACGGCACGGCCCGCUUUUAACAAUAGGCACGGUAAUGGCCCGGUAUUAGGAAAUUUGUGAAAUUUGAAGUAUCAGGUUCUGUGACUUGUGAAACUUGUGACUUUUGGCAAGUGAAAUAUGAUCUGAGAGUAUAUUGUGUUAUGUGAAUUGUGAAGUAUUAAUAUCUGUGACUUGAAUGUAACGUACUUAUGCUUUGUUAAAUUCUGUAUUAAAUUUGGUAUUUUUCAUAUAGCGGGCCACGGGCCGGCCCGAAGGACUAUUGGGCCUCGUGCUUUUCGGGCCGGCCCGGCCCGAAAAUCGGCCCACGGGCCAUGCCUGGGCCGUCAGGCAGGCACGGUGGCCUGUGGAGGCACGGCUCGGUGGCCCGCGGGCCAUACGGGCCCGUGCCUAGCACAGGCCCGUGCCGGGCCGGGCCGGGCCAGCCCGUUGCUCAUAUCUAGGUAAUGGUACAAAAUUUCGGGAUACCAAGCCAAUUGUGCAUUCAUCAUGGGGUGAUCUAAUCAAUAGAGACGUGUACCUUUCCUGCACCUCAUCACCCAACUCCUGAUGUUACCGGUAAUAAGAAACAAUUGAGUUCUAGUGGUUGAUAUAGCAUGACCGUGAAUGCUGAAAAUUCUUCGUCUUCUAAGACAUACGAAGAAUGUUGCUGAUCCACACAAAUUUAAAAUGAGAUGUGCUGCUAUAAAGGCACAAAAAGAGCCUAUUCAAGAUGAGGAGUGGUUGGUAGUGCCACGGGCACUAGGUAGCACUAGGGAGCCCUUGAGCCAUGGAGGCUCGAGGUGCCUGUUUUCAUCCUAGGCCUUAGCUAGCACCAAAUGUCAAGAGGUGGCCAACGAUUGGGCUCAAGCUCCUGUCUAUCGCAAGCCUGAGGCUCAAGCCAGCACCCAAGCCUUGAGUAGAGGCAGGACAUGCUCGGGCUCAGCCCAACUCUUAGCGAGAAGGUGCGUGCGAUCAUACCUUAGGGGUGUAGCCCCUGAGACCCUGGGCAUUCCAAGAAGGCUUUGUCGAGGAGUCUCUCGAUCGGUAACUUGAUCUCAAGGCUUAACAUACACUUAUGUUAUGAUCUCAUUAGAAAGCACAAUGCAAAAGCAAAGAGUGUCGAUAAGAAGAGGCAAAAGAAAAUAUCAAUCAUAAUCGAGCUAUCUUACUAGAAAGACAAUGGUCUGCCAUAGCAUCGAUCUCAUGCAUCUGAAAAGGAAUUUGCUUGGGACACUCAUGAAUGGAAAAACAAAGACCAUGUAAAAGCAAGAGCUAACCUAGAGGAAUUGGACAUAAGGCUCGAGCUCCAUCCUAAUCGUACUAGUGCACAGCCACCUUUAUCUGGCAUAAACCUAACUCAACAAGAGAAGCAGGAAUUCCGUGACUUCUUCCAUAGUAUCAAAGUUCCCUCUAGAUACACAACCAACAUCCAAAAACUUGUGCCUACAAGAGGUAAAAUGCUUCCCACAAAGGCUCAUGAUUGAGAUGUCAUGCUCACAACAAUGCUUGCAGUUAGUAUCAAGAAUAUAUUGCUAGAAAAAAAGCUAAAAGAAAACGUGAGCCUCUACUUCUUCUUUAAUGUAAUCUCUCAGAAGAUCCUUGAUGAACAAUGACUGGACGAUCAUGAAAAGAACAUGUGUGAGACAAUGUGCCACCAAUAUUUUUGUUGAUAUAUGUAAAUAUAGCUUAUUGUCAGCAACAUUUCUAUUGAACUAGAACAUGUGAGCUUUGUAGCCUCUUGUCUAACUAUUUUCUAUGUGUAGUGUGAUUGCAUUCUUCAUCUCUGCUAAUGUUGAGUAACAGACUAUCCUUUCUAAUUUGUAGGUCGAAAUAUUGGAGAAGCAAAAAAAUAAGGUAAUUGCUUCUCAUUUUGAAGAAGUUAAUUCUACUCUAGGUACAUGUUAUAGGCCUCAUUUUAUUACUAAGAGCAAACUUGGUUGAUGUGAAGAAAUUUGUUUUCUACAAAAGAAAUUCUAUAAUAUGUGGAUUCCUUUUUCAUGAAGUAUUAUAGUCAACCCUAUCAACAUCAUGGAUAUAACAUACCUCUAUGAGCAUAUCACUUUGCCUCUUUUUUAGAGACUUCUAGUUCAAACUAUCAGUCUAUCAUUGUCAUAUAUUUGACUAAAGUAAUACAUUGUAUGUGAAGUACAUAGAAAAUUAAAAACGAUUAAGGCCAGCAUGAUGUGGAUGUUAUUAACUAUAUUUUCUACAAUUGGGGCUAGGUAGAAGUAUUUAACUGGUUAAAUGAUUUCAAAAUUCUCUAAAUUGAUUGACUGACUUCCAUAAGAAAUAAUCUUUACCUUACUCAUUACACCUUGCAGUAACUCAACUAUUCAACAAAUAUAUAUUUUCACUAAUUCAAUGUUUUUGCCAUCAUGAUAGUAACAAUUGAUGGUGGGUUGGUUAGAGAGGCAACAAUGUCAGAAAUAAAACAGAAAAUAGAGUAAGGUUAUAUUUUUUGAGAAAGAGAUUCUCAAAUUGGAGUAAGAGGGGCCAAAUAGGAGGAAUUAGGGUUUGCAAAUGAGAGUGGGGAGGGAGAGGACCCCUUGCCCUCAUGCUCUUCGCACUAUAUAUAGGUGAUGAUAAUUUACAAGUGCCCCCUUGGUGGGGAUUUCUUGUACAUGCCAAACUCCACAAGUUGGACCUCUUCUAGGGGACAUGGCCCAUAUGAAUAUGGGCUCCCCUAACAAUAGCCCCUCAGCUACUAGGUUACUGUUGGUACUACAUGAUCUAGUAGAUGCUCAUACAAGAAGAGGCACAAUGCAACUCGAACCUUGGUUGCAAGGAUCUCCCUUUACACCUUGAAUGUGCACGCCUCACUAAAAGCUUCAUCCCAAAAUGGGAAAGAAGGGAUAGAGAAAAGAGCAUUCCCAAAACUCCAACCUAUACAUGUUUUAAUUCUCGAGGCCUGUAUCUCUAAGUGUCUUGAUCUUCUAGACAUCUUCAUCUUUUAGCUUUGAUUGCUUCUAUUGCUUCUGCAGCAUGGUUCAUUGACUUUGCUCGAUGUGUAGGUCUUCAUCUCUAGGACCAUCUUGAUGUGUUGGUCUUUGUUCUCUAAGGCCUUCACCUCUAGUAUCUUCUCGGUGCAUAGUCUUCAUCUCUGAGGCCUUCUUAAUGCAUUAGCCUUCCUCUUCAAGGCCUUCAUCUAUGAUAUCUUCUUGGUGCACAUGUCUUUGUCUCUGAGUCCUUCACAUCUUUGCUCAUGAGGACUGAACAAAAUACUUCACACUCUGAAGUGGUUGGUCUUCUAAUGUGCUCCACUAGAGCCUCUUGGCUGGUGCUCAUGACCAUGCUUCGUGUAGUCAAAGCAUUCAUAGUAAUGGAACGCUCAUGAUGGAAUCCUCAGCCAUGCUUGUGUAGUUGGUGUAGUUGAAGUAGACAUCUAGAAUGAAGUUGUUGGCAAGCCCCUUGGGCAGAAGUGGUUGACAAAGGUUUAAUAGGCCUCAAUGUCUAAGGAGUUGAUGUAGCCCCCGAGCUUGGCGAAAGUGGUGCAAGUCGUUGCAUUGUAGGCAUUGAUGUUGAAGGUGUCGAUGAAGGCUCUUGAGCCAUUGUAGUGGGUGAACAUGAUGAUGAAGUCCCUCUUGUUGAAGUGUUCACAGAGGUGAGUUGUAGAGCCACAUUGAAGAUGUUGGUGAGGCCCCUCCUGCCAAAGUGUUGGCAGAGGCACGUCAUUGUCGUUCACUGAAGUUGUUUGUGAAGUCUCUCCUACAUGAGCCAUUUGGUAGAGGCAAUGUUGGUGUGAACAUCAAAGUGUCAACGAAGCCCUAUGUGUUGACAUGUUGAUGGAGCGACUUGCUUUGGUUUCACCAAAGGUUUUGGUGAAGGCCUAUUGGCAGUUACAAAUGCAAAUUUAUAGCCACCAAUUUAUAUCCAAAGUAGAAGAAAUAAUCGGUCGUUGACACAUAUGCAUUAAGUAUUGAAUGAAUUCCACUUGUAUUCUGAGAAAGUAUGUUUUGCAGAUCAAUCUGUGGAAUCAAGUAGAAAAUACAAAAAAUCAAAUAAAAAGCACAAAGAAGAAAGCCAUUUUAGAAAUGCACAGAGGAGGCGAAUGAAGAAAUGCAACCAUACUUCACAUCUGGGCUGAAGCACCGAUGUGGGAGAGGUCUAGGCCCAGCUAGGAAUCAACCACAUGAAGGCAGUGGUGAGGUAGGCCCACCAGGGUGCUAGGGUACUUUGUGUGUGGUCGCACAGCCUGUCGCCUCUCAGGCCACUCUCCUCUGGCGGUUGCAUACCACCAUGCUGAGGUGGUUUUGGCUAGUUACCAUAUUUGUUAGCGUCAAACCGACCCUAUUGCAGCUAUAAAUAGAGGGCAGUGCUUACCAUUCAACACACCUUAUUUAGUUCACUCCUCUCUCUACAACCUCGUAUAGUCUCUUUUAGCUUUUAGUUGUAGUUUGAGAGCAAGGUAAGAGCUACCUAGGAGAGCUUGUCUCCUUGGAAGAAAGGCAACUUGGUUUGAAUAAUACUAUGAAGAGUUCUUUCAUAUUUAAGUUUUCAUAUCAUUCAUAUAGCAAUGCAUAUGAACUAGAGUAUAGUUGUUAUCUUGUUAUAAUCAUGAUAUAUAGACUAACAUAUAGUUUAUGUGCAUGUGAUGAUUAUGAUAUAUUCCACUUUAUGCUUAAUCAUUCAUAUAUCUUGUAUGAGGAAGAACUAGAGCUAAAUUGAGGUGGUUGUUCAUCAUGCCUUCGGGUGUGCCCAAGUCCUUUACCUAUUGAUCUGUAAGGUUAGGGAUCUGGGGUGAGUUGGGUAGUUUAUGUACACAAGCAAGGUGCUUGGGUAUAGAGGAAUGGGUGAAUACAUUUCCCUUUCUCUAGUCAAGGGGUAGGUGGCUGAUACGUCACUAGGUCCCGAUCUUCAUGACGUAGGAUCAACCUUUAGAUAACUAGCUUCAAAGAAGCCAAGAUAACUUACUGCAAGGAAUGAUAACUUGUGCAACCUGAUAAAUAAAACUCAAAGCCAACCACCAUCUUUAACCAGUAACCUGAAUCGAGGAUUCACCCAAAUCACACUCUCAAAGAACCAACCAACAUAGCCUAUAAUCAAUCAAGGACAACCUUGAAGGGAGUAGGAGCAUCAAAUGAGAGCAGAUGAAGCCACUGCUUCUAUAAUCCCGUGAGAAAAUCACAAGAGCAAAAGGGUAGAUAUUACUCUCCCAAUAUUUGUUAGCACAGAGUUGAAUAAAGGGCUUCUAUAUUUUGAUUAUCAAAAGUCUAAGAUUGCUAUGGAGUAAGGGGGUAUUAUAUUAGGAACAACCAUCCUAGAUAGGUAGAAAUAUGAAAUGAAAAAGAUAAGAUGAACUAUGUGAAAGGGUUUCCAUGAAAUGAAUUCCUGAAGAGUUCCCACAUGGUUGUUGGUCUUCUACACAGUCUUUAGUGUUUUCACAAUAACUCUACCUUGGAAAAUCCAAAUGAUGUGCAGCUAGAUGGUUGGAAAGCUAACUUAAUAAGCUUUCACCCUAUGUGUAGAAUGCACCAUGAAAUAAUGUUGGUUCAGUUUUGCAUGGGAAGUUGAAUGUUUGGCGGACUAUUGAUCGUCUGACAAGUCUUCACUACAAUAGGUUGGCUCUCACAAUGAAAUUUCCAAAUAGCACGGCUCUAGUGGCAUUGAAAACUAGACUUAAUAAGCUUUCCAAAAUGUCUUUAUGGACCUUUAUAGAUUUUGGGAAUCAAAAGUUAUGACUAAUUAUUUCUGAUGGUUGUGUCACGCUGGAUGAGUCUGAGCGCGAUUCUUCUCUGUAGUGCACUCUUGGUGUGUUCUUGUCUUCCUUCUUAGUUAACCUAGCCAAUAAUAAUGUACACAACUUGGGUAUUUCGCAAAGUAGCGUGUGCAUCUUUUGUUGUAAUUUCUUUGCUCGACUAUAUGUGUAAUUGGUCCAUCAACAACGUAAACUGGUCUAGAUGUUGGUGAUGUUAUGGUUGGACUUUUGUGCAUCUCGAAUGGUGCUAGCGUGGUCACAUCAGUGGCAGGUGGUGACAACCUUGUCGGUCCCUUGUAAUCCCCUACUUUCAUUUGGGGUGAGGAGUCUAAAUUGUCACAUGAGGUUGUUGGCAGACUAGUACACGGAUGACUCUCAAUCCAUCUUACGCUUAGCCCUAGAUCUAUUCUUAUAGCUUGUAUGAUCAUUAACUUUUCUUUGCAAGGCUAUAUUAGAACAUGCCUGCUCCACUUAGAUUAUUCUUUUAUUCUUUGUUUUUUUCCUUUUUUUGUCCUUGAGGUUGGCCCAGAUGUGUGUCCGCUAUCCAUGAUAUACCAUUUUUACCCCUAUUGUAUGCUAUGUCCAUCAUGCACGUAUGUCAUCAUGUUCAUACCAAUGCUAGAUACAUUACACCUUGCCUUCCUUUGGAAAAAUAUAAAUAAUAAUACCUUGGAAUACUCCUAGGUGAAAUGCUACAACGAUAGCUCCAUGUACGCUUACGGAUUUUGUCUGUAAUCAUUAGAACUAUCAUGGUUGGUGUUUCUUGGUGGCAUUAUUAAGACUAACUCUAUCAUGGUUGGUGUUUCUUGGUGGCAUUAUUAAGACUAACUCGAUCUUAACAAUGGUGCUAAGGAGUGUCAACAGGCUUUUCUAAGUGUCACUACCCAAUGAUUAUAUACUCCAAUAAACAUUAUUAGUGUCGAUGCCAUGGGAAUACAUUCCUGAGUAGUGAUGGUUGGAAAUGCCAACCAGGCAUUUCUAGCACCGUUGCCAAGAAACAGUUCCUAUUUUCUCGGAACCUAGUUCUUCCUUGUAUUUGUAUCUUUUAUUUUUAUAUAAAACAUAUAUUUCUUUUACCUUUUUCACCAUGGCGCCAACUUCAAUUUCUUACCUUUCUGCUUCAAAGAGAGAGUUCCAUGAGCCACCACAUUCUCCAAAACCAAACUGUUCAUCUGGCCAUGAACUCCACCCUAGCUUAAUAGCCAUGGUUCGGGCACUACACUUCUCAGGGCACGAAAAUGAAAACCCUCACCAUCACCUAUGAGGCAUCAAGGAAAUGUGUUCAUGCCUGAGUAUCUUGGACAUGACACAAGAAACCAUAAGGUGGAAAUUGUUCCCCUUCUCUUUCAUGGGAAAGACAAAACAAUGGUACACAUUCGCUAUAAGAAGUACAAAUGGGGACUGUCAACGAAAUAUGAUUGACAGUCUACCUAGGAGUAUGCCUAAGGUAGUAGAUUAGGUGGACGUGUGCCACAUAAUAAACUAGAUGGUGACGCAACACGAACACAAGAGUUUUUGUCUGGGUUCGGUCGUCGUGACGGCGUAAUACCUACAUCCUAUGUCUGGUUUGUAUUGUUGUGUGGUAUGAGAUACCAAUGAGAGAUGAUUUUGAGGGGGUCCCUACCUGCCUUGUGUAGUCUAAGGGGCAAGGUUACAGAUCUAAAAAUUAUUCCUAGUUGGUUACAAUUACCAUAUCGAGCAAGGAUAAAACUUACUAUUCUAACCGGCCAAGAUCUUCCUUGAUCAUUAAGCUAAAUCUAUUGUCUUGUGCUGGAUGUUGACCAGCUUGGUGGGUUGUGUGAUCUUCUAGCGAGUUGGGUCAUUUGGUCUGGGCCAGCCCAUGUCGAGCCAUGGGGAUAUAGGAGUUUAUGCCUGCACAGGGACUAGGAUGAACUUAAAGACAAGUUUUGUUUUGCAUUUUUCCCCAUAUCCCAUACUAGCUCUCUACCAAGGGCAAUCCUCGAUUUUUUUAGUAGUGUGAGAAGGAGUCUAUAGGUGCAGCUUGGGCAAGGUUUUCAACGUUAAUUCAGGCCGGCCUAGAGUUGUCAUUACUUGAUGGCAUGAUUUUGCAUCUCUUUUAUUCGGGUCUUGACAUAAAUGCUGACAUAUGCCUAUACAUGACUACGAAAGGACGGUUUACAAACAAAACUAUGACAGAACAAGUUGAAUUUCUUAAGCACUUCAUAUCCAAACACACUUCUUCCAUCGUAAGAACCAAACCCCUCUAGAUGAAAGUCAUGUUAAGUGUGGGGGAGUCCUCAUCAAUCGAAACCAAACUUAGAGCAUCUACAACUGUUUUGCAAAUGGGCGUUGCAAUCUUAUUUUUGCAAAAAAGUCUUUAAAACCUCUAUCCAACGGUUUGGCAAAUGGGCUUUGCAUUUUAGUUAACUUGGCAAAUUCCUAGCUAGGUUUGGCAUAUAUGCCAAUAGUAUAUUGUGCUUGGCCUCGCAUAGCCCCGCGCGUUUUCCUUCCCCGUUCGUGAUUCCCCUGCCGCCGCCAUUUUCUUCCCGUGGAAAGUUGGAAGCCGUGAUCUUACAAUUCUGCACAUCACUGGACAUCAAAACCGGCUAUAGGGGAGGCGAUCUUGAUCAAGCUGGCGGUGGGGGAGGUACGUACACCAUGGCUAGCUGAUUUAGCCCGACCUAGCUAAAGCUGUCUCUGUCUCCCUCAUCUUUCAGUAUGCUAGCUGCAUUCCAAGAAGCCCUGGUGGCUGCAAGCAAUCUCUGUUGCCCUGAUCUAUUCUCUUCUUUCAAGUGCACACACAAUCAGGAACUAGAAGGCGGCAGCGCCAGGAAUAGCACGCGACGAAUAGCACGUGAAGAAACACGCAUGACUGAAUUGACGACGUGAAGAAAAUUUUCAUCUGAAAAAAUAACCGUUGGGUCCACACUUCGGUUUUGCCAACUCAAUCUUGCCAAACCAUUGGAGGUAACCUUUUUUCUCCUCCCCAUAUUGAUUUGAGACUUGGCAAACUCUAUGUUUUGCCAAAGAUAAAAUGCAAAACCAUUGGAGAUGCUCUUAUAUCAUCCCUAGGUUCAACUUAUGAGCCCUCACUCAAACCUUGAACACCAUAGGAAACAAUGCUUCAUCCUUUGGAGUUCCCUAUCAAAUUUGAGGAUUAUGGCAAUACCUUGAAGUUAGCAUGGCACAAAUAACACACAAGAGAAGAAGAGCAAGACCAUCACUACUCCAUUGGCUUAGGCCCUAGCUAGAUCUAGCAAAUCUUAGGGAGAGACGUGAGGGAGAGCUCGGGGAAGAGCCGAAUUGUUGGUGUGUCCUUGCUUGUACCUCGAGAAACAUCAACUUUGUACCUCCAUGGGUAACUUGGUAAGUGUUCAUGGUUCCUUUGGUUAUAAAAGUCUUUUGAUUAGUUAAGCUAUAGUUUUGCUGGUUUGUGGGAUCAUCAUUUGUGGUAGCAAAAAGUCUACAUUACCCCCUGAACUAUGGGGUGGUGUUUACUUUACCCCCCGAACUAUGAAACAGUCUAAUUUAUCCCCUGAACUAUCAAAAACCGUCCAAAUCACCCCCGGGUGGUUUUUGAUGCCGGUUUUGCUACAGUAACCAUGGUUUUUUUGCUACAGUAAUUGUGGUUUUGACUUUUUCUUUUUCCUUUAAUCGAAAGACGCCAUAAAAAAGAAAAAGUCAAAACCACGGUACCGUAGCAAAACCGCCAUAAAAAACCGCCCGGGGGGUGAUUUGAACGGUUUUGGAUAGUUCGGGGGGUCAAUUAGACUGUUUUAUAGCUCGAGGGUAAAGUAGACACCACCCCCAUAGUUCAAGGGGUGAUGUAGACUUUUUCCUUUGUGGUAGAUGCUCUAAUAGAAGGGCCCUAACAAAGAAGAAUAACCCUUGUAUACACACUAGAGUUGUAGUCAAUAGUGUAGACUAGUAUCUAGGCAAGUGGCAACCUUUGUUUGCUUUGUAUCCCCCGAUUAAGGGGUAGACAGCAGGUGGUAACAACCUUGUCCAUCUUUUGUGAUCCCCCAUUCGGUAAAGUUGCAUCCCGGUGUCCAAAGUAAGCAAGUGAAAGUACGCAACAAACUACGGUGGGUCAAACUGGGGGAUGAGAACACUGAAUUUUUCCAUAGCAUUGCCACAAUUUCAUAUAAGAUGAAUUUCAUCAUUGCAUUAUGUGACUCUAAUGACAAUUAGGUCACUGAUCAUGAAUACAAAGCAAACCUACUAUGGACAGCAUUCAAGGACCGGCUUGGAAAUAGUGAGUUCACCAGCAUAUCCUAUGAUUUGGGAUCCAUCUUUCAUGAGCAUAAUCUUGAGAGGAUAGACAGUGAAUUCAGCCAGGAUGGAAUUCACCAUGUCAUCAGAUCACUCCCAAACAACCAUGCUCCUGGCCCAGAUGGUUUCAAUGGGCUUUUCAUAAAAAUGUUGGAAUAUUAUAAAAGGGGACUUCACUAGACUAAUGAAAGAUUUCUGCACUGAUAAUGUUGAUAUUAGUAGCAUCAAUUCCUCAGUCAUUGCUCUUAUCCCCAAAAAGGACAACCCUAAAAAGGUUGAUGACUUUAGACCAAUCUCCCUGCUCAACUAUAGUCUAAAAUGUAUCACAAAACUCCUCUCCAUCAGACUAUAGAAGGUGAUACUUGAACUUGUCCAUUAGAACCAAUAUGAUUUCAUAAAAGGCAGAACCAUCUAGGAUUGCCUAGCUUGGGCUUUCCAAUUUCUACAUCUUUGUCACCAAUCCAAAAAAGUAGUGAUUCUAAAACUUGACUUCGAGAAGGCCUUUGACAAACUGGAACAUCAAGUCAUUAUCCAAGUCAAGAAACACAAAGGUUUCCCUACCAAAUGGAUCAAAUGGAUCGAAAACAUCCUAGGCUUGGGUUCAUCAUCCAUCAUUCUCAAUAGCAUUCCUAGAAAAACCUUCAAAUGCAAAAGAGGUGUGCGACAAGGUGAUCCCUUGUCCCCACUUCUUUUUGUAUUGGUUGCUGAUCCUUUACAAAGCAUAGUAAAUAAAGCCUGGCUAAUGGGAGUCUUGACUCACCCUAUCUCGGAUACUUUUGGAGGAGAUUUUCCCAUUUUUACAGUAUGUUGAUAAUACUUUGCUUAUUCUGCCUGGUGAUUCCAGGACCCUCUUCAACUUGAAAGGUCUCCUGAGGUCCUUCCCUGAUUCUUGUGGUUUACAUGUAAAUUUCAGCAAGUCAUUCCUAGUGCCUAUCAACAUGACUAACAACAGAGCUCAACAUUUGGCCCAUACUUUUGGAUGCUAGUUAGGCUCUAUGCCUUUCACCUAUCUAGGUCUCCCCCUAGGCACAACUUAACUAGUUGUCCAAGAUUUCACCCCACCUCAACAGGAUUGAAAGAAGACUCUCUAGUUUCAGUAGACAUUUAUCAUAUGAUGGAAGACUAAUAUUGGUCAAUUCUUUCCUCACUACACUGCCCACCUUCUACAUGUGUAGCCUCAAGCUCCCACCACAAGUUGUAAAACAAAUAGACACCUACAAAAACAUUGCCUUUGGAGCAAGGGUGACAUUAAUAGAAAAGGUUCCUGCCUAGUGGCCUAGGAAAUAGCCUGCAAACCCAAUAUCAGGGAGGGCUUGGUAUUAUUGAUAUUGAGAAACACAAUGAGGCACUCCUACUGAAACAUCUAAACAACUUUUACAAUCACUAUGAUCUUCCAUGGGUAAAGUUGACUUGGUCCAAACUCUACAGCAACAAUCAAACACCCCCACAUGCAAGAUGCCCUAUUGGUUCCUUCUGGUGGAAGGAUGUUUUGAAACUCUUUAGUUCCUUCAGAAGCCUCACAAGAUGCAUUCCUAGCAGAGGAAAUAGUGAUCUCUUCUGGUCAGGCACCUGGAGCCCUUUACCGUUGAAGGAGAAAUAUCCUCAGCUCUUCUCUUUCAGUAAGAAACCCAAAUGUUCCAUCAGAUUUUUCUUGGAAAAUGAAGUGGAAGUUAGCUUUAGUCUACCAGUCUACCUCUCUCAACGCAAGUUGCUGAACAAUUAGAUGAGCUCAUGGAAUAUGAGUUGAAUAGACCCUGGGAUGAAAAUGUUGCUGAUAUCUGGAGCCUUUCUUGUAGCAACCCAAAAUUUAGUAGUAAGAAAACCUAUAGCCUUCUGAUUGAAAAUGUGUUGGCAUCUCCUUUAUUUCCUUAGCUCUGGGCCUCCAACAAUCUUGGCAAACACAAAUUCUUCUUCUGGCUGCUACUUCGGGACAGACUUAGCACAAGAAGCUUGUUGAGAAGGAAACACAUGCAUCUAGAUGACUACAGCUAUGUGCUAUGUUCCACAGGCUGUGAAGAAACUAGCUUCCAUCUAUUCUUUGCAUGCUCUUUCAGUCAAUCCUGCUGGAACUCGAUCUCAAUCCAUUGGAAUCUCAACCUACCUCCUCUAGACAUGGUGAUAGAGGCCCAAAGUCAGUUUGGAAAUGUCAUUUUCAGAGAAUUGCUCAUAACUGGUUGCUGGGUAAUAUGGACCAUGAGGAACUCUAUUAUUUUUGAUAAUGGACAUUGUAGCCGGUCCCUUUGGAAAAGAAGAUUUAAAGAAGAUCUGGACCUUGUAUGUAUUAAGGCCAAUGAGAAACGACAGGCUACCCUAACCCUUUGGCGAGAUAGCUUCCUACUAUAGUUUAUAUCUUUUUGUAAUUUGUACUCAUUUUGUUCUUCUUCUUUUCUUUUGUUCCCCUUGUACCAUCCAUUCUUUCAAUUAAUUGAAAUACAAAAAUAUAGGUAGGGGACUCCCCUACUGUUCCUGUAAAAAAGUAAACUUUAUCUUCUCUUAGACCAAAAAGGCAUAGGAAUCCUUCUCUACCCUCAUCCGCUAUCCUUGUGUUGUCCUUAGAUGAAUUAGCUAGAAGAAAUACAUAUGUUCCCUAUGGAAAAUAUGAUACCUUGAAUACUUCUGGGUGAAAACUACAAUGGUAAUUUCGUGCUUGCAGAAUCUUUCUAUUCGCGUUAAGAAAUACCAACAAGACCCUCCUACAAAAGGUUGGCGAAGGCGAUAUUGGUGUAGUAACCAAAGAUAGUGGCGAAGCCCCUCAAGACAAAGAUCGAAGGGCUAGGCGAAUACAAUGUGGGGAAACCCCUCGUAGUGAAGGUGUUAAUGUAGGGUGGUGUUAAAAGUGGCAAGCUUAUCAUGCACCUUAGAAAAUGAUAGUUAUGCUUGAACAAAUGUCAAGCCCUACACAUAAGGAAUAAUCCCCUUGAAUAAGAGGGUUGGACACAUGGCAUCGGUGAUGACAACGGCGGUGGGGACUCAUGCAGUAGGGAUACAGAAGAAGAAGGGUUUCAUGGAUAAGAUCAAGGAGAAGCUAGACACCACCACUGAUUGUGCACCUUGGUUGAGGACUUAGACUUUGAGGGACCUAGAAUCAUGUGUGAACAUGUCACUAUGUAUUGUGCAUGACAUAUAUGUGUCUACGUACCUCAUUUAGGUUUGGAUCGAGUUAUAUUGGGCUUAUGCUUUCGUGUCUGUAGUAAUCAGUUAGGGUUUAGGAUUUAGGGUUUGGGGUUAUAGUUUCCGGAUGGCUAGCAAAGACUGCCAUUUAGGAACCUACAUGGUUAGCUUCCUCCAAAAGUUACCUCAAAUAAAGUUUGGUUGAUGCAUUUAUAAUAACUUAAAAGUGACAAUACAACCUACAAAGAAGAGGAAAGAUGUUAGAUUUAGUGGGGGUCAAUGGUUUAGUGGUUGCCUAAGGUCGAUGGUUCAAAGAGUCUAAUUGCUGGUGAGGUUUGAUGUUUGAUGAAGUCUGAUGGUUAGUGAGGAUCACUGGUGACUGUUGUACUGAAGAGCAAUGCUUGUCAUACUUUGAUGGAACCCAAAUCUAAAUGUCGCUAUAUCGAGAGUUGAGAAGAUGAAUUGUUCGAUGAAAGCCAUUGAUUUAUGAAAACACUAAAAGCCAUUUGAAAGAUAUAUAGUAAAGGUCAGAUAUUCCAUGAAGACCAUUGACUGAUCAAAAAUCCAUAGAGCAAUGAAAACCAUGGCUGAUAGAUCUACUAACUAGCGAGAGCCAUUGACUAACAAAGGUUGUUGGGUAAUGAAAACCAUUUACUGAUGAAGUCCACUAACUAGUGAAGGUCACUGACCAAUGAAGGUUGCUUAUCUAUGAUAACCAAUGAUAGAUAAAGGUUGUUGACUAAUGAAGGUCACUGACUUACGAAGGCCGCUGACUAACGAGAACUACUUACCGAGUAUAACUAACGAUAAAUGAAGGAGGUUGACUGAUGAAGGUCACUGACUAAUGAGGGUUGUUGACUGAUUUUAACCAAUGAUAGAUGAAGGUCGCUGACUAAUGAAGGUCAUGGACUGUCGAAGGCCACUGACUAAUUAGGGCUACUAACUUAUUAUAAGUUAUAACCAAUGGUAGAUGAAGACUACUGAUUGAUGAAGGUCACUAACAAACAAAGGCUGAAUUUCAUGAGGGCUACUGGGGUUGUGAAAAAUGUCCAUACAACAAAGAAAAUAUACUCUAUAUGAGGGUUAGCUUGGGAGGAUAUGAGUUAUGUAUAGUGGUGGUGACCUAUUUGUUAGUAACAAAAAGAGAUUCAAAAAAGAGAAGAUAGGUGUUUUGAGAUAGCCGAUUAAGGCCAAGCAUGUAUAUAGCCACUCAGACAUGCUUUUGGUGUGGCAAGAUGGUCACAUCGGUGACAAGUUGUGUGUGAAGGUUAAUUUUUUAAAUUUAUCUUGAGAGAUGAAUAUUAGAUGAAAAUUGUGGCGCAUAUAAAUCAUAAGUCCAAAAAAUAUUAAGCAUUAUAAUUGUGAGAAUUUAUAGGUUGACGAGAAAUACUCCUUUAUCCUAGCUUGGUUCCUGUACGUGGAUGCCAUUCAGAUAUUCAACGCACACACUUCUUACGUGCUGAGCACUUUUUUUUGUUUUUGAAGAAUCGUGCUAAGCACCUUUCAAGGUCGACAUGCAUAGGGAUUAUGCUGAUGCACUUUGCGCCCAUUUGUGUUUUAUAUAUGCCAUAGAAAAUGUGUCCAAUAUUGGUACUAAUGGUUUUUAUAUUUCCCCUGAUACAAAUUGUAUUAUAUUUCAUGGUGCUACCCCUAAAUAAGUGCUUCCCUGUUCUAUAAAAUUUUCUUCAUUCAUCAUAUAAAUUACAUCCUAAACUCCCGCAUGCAACUCUACCCGGAAGCACUAUAAAUAAGGCCCAUGUGCCCACCCCUCUCAAAUCCAAGCUGCCGCAGAGACCUUUCUCCUUAAGCAAGUAGCUUCACCGAGUGUGCAGGUUUUGCCAUGGCGGCUCCUACCUUGAUGCAAUGCUUGGUCGCCAUUUCCCUCCUCUCCUGUGUCGCCCACGCACAGCUCUCGACCACGUUCUAUGCGUCCUCCUGCCCCAAGCUGCAGAGCAUCGUGCGGAAGGCGAUGAUCCAGGCCCUCAGCAAUGACCAGAGGAUGGGCGCCUCUCUGCUCAGGCUCUUCUUCCACGACUGCUUUGUUCAAGUACUAGCUAGAAUCCUCACACUAUUCAGAUCAAGUUCUCCGCCGGUAACAGUACGUACGUAAUAACAGUAUGUGAUGAUGACAGGGUUGCGACGGCUCGAUCCUUCUCGACGCCGGAGGGGAGAAGACGGCAGGCCCCAACGCCAACUCGGUGCGCGGCUAUGAGGUCAUCGACACCAUCAAGACGAACGUGGAGGCCGCGUGCCCCGGCGUCGUGUCGUGCGCCGACAUCCUCGCCCUUGCCGCGCGAGAAGGAACGAAUCUGGUACGCACGCCUACUAGUUUGUUUGUUUGUUUAAUUACAUGUCAUAUUCAGUUAGUUAAUGACGCGUCUAACACUUAUCCUUCGUUUGUUGUUGUCCGCACGUACGUAGCUCGGCGGGCCGACCUGGAACGUGCCGCUGGGCCGGCGGGACUCGACGACGGCGAGCGCGUCCCUCGCCAACAGCAACCUCCCGCCGGCGACGGCCAGCCUGGGCACGCUCAUCUCGCUGUUCGGCAGGCAGGGCCUGUCGGCGCGCGACAUGACGGCGCUGUCGGGCGCGCACUCCAUCGGGCAGGCCCGGUGCACCACCUUCCGCAGCCGCAUCUACGGCGACACCAACAUCAACGCCUCCUUCGCGGCGCUCCGGCAGCAGACGUGCCCGCAGUCCGGCGGCGACGGCAACCUGGCGUCCAUCGACGAGCAGACGCCGACGAGGUUCGACACGGACUACUACACCAACCUGAUGUUGCAACGGGGCCUGUUCCACUCAGACCAGGAGCUCUUCAACGGCGGGUCGCAGGACGCGCUGGUGAGGCAGUACAGCGCCAGCUCCUCGCUCUUCAACAGCGACUUCGUGGCGGCCAUGAUUAAGAUGGGCAACGUUGGGGUGCUUACCGGCACCGCUGGACAGAUCAGGCGCAACUGCCGGGUCGUCAACAGCUAGAUGCAUGCCAUAUAAAAAAAUAGCAGGCUACAGUGGCGCUAUAGCGGUUAGAGAGACUCGAUGUUAAGUUAUUGCUCUUUGUGUCAUUAUAUCAAUUUUAGCCGCUAUUGUGCCGCUAAGUGGCAUAUUUUGACCGUUAUAACGGUGCUAUUUCAUCUUUUGUGUACUUAUCAUUUAUUUGCUAAUUUAAUUAGUUAUUUUCUGCUUCUCAUUUGCUUACUAAUUACUUAUAAUCAUGUUGUAAUGUCAUAUUGGUAUACUAUUACUUAUACUUGUGGAAUCUUAGAAAUAUAUUUAUGUUCAUUGAAUUUCAAUGUUUUUAUAUCAAUUACUAAUGUUUUCAUACCUUUUUAUAAAAACGUUAUUUGUCAUAGUACCACUAUAGCGUCGUUGUAGCUUCAUAGCUGUUAAAGAAAGCUGUCACUAUUUUCAAUGUCACUAUUUUUAAUAGUAUGCUAUUUUAAACUAGGAUUUAUACUUGUAACUUUGCAAGCUUGCUAAUCGAUCGACCGCCGGAUGGAACGGAAUCCACCGACAUGUACGGCAAGCUAGCUUAUCAUGAAUACGGAGUAGUAGAAUAAAUGGUGAACGACCACGCAAGCAGUGAACAACGAAGAAACAGUGAAGGCACACUGGGGAAGAAAAUCGCUCAUACUGUAUCACCUCGCGUUCGGCUGUUGUGUACUCUAGUCCUGUCAUGUUCUCCACUGAAAGCAAACAAAAAAAAAGGAGUGGAAUAAUUCACUGAGCCAAAAUCUGCAAAUCUAGUUCCGCGCCAAGGCCAAGCUAUGUGCUCCCCCUUUAUGGGCCCGCCUAGUUCCUACCGACUAACAAACACAAACUUUUUUAGAAAAAAAUAUAUAUUAAUAUCUCAACUUCUAAAUCGACUAAUGCAUAUAGCUACUACUUAUUACACCACAAGCACUUUAAAAACACACAAACACAACACACGGUAGCUUCCUCACACCGAAAACAGUCACCACAAUGCAAAAGACCAUUUGCCGUCAUACCACGUAGGUCAUCUUAGCAACUCAAAUCUGCUAGCCACCAUCUCUCACGUUGGCCUCCUUUCCAGCUUCGUGGUGGCCUCCCGUGCUGGCC